UCAUUAAUGUUUAUUUGCUCUGAUUGUUGUAGCAAU
rnacentral:sRNA from 1 species